rnacentral:rRNA from 1 species
CAGGCCUAACACAUGCAGUCGAGGGGUAACGAUGGCUUCGGCCAGGCGACGACCGGCGCACGGGUAGUAUCGCGUUUGUAACCUACCUCUAACUGGAGAAUAGCCCGAAGAAAUCGGAUUAAUACUCCAUAAUGCUAUGAUUCGGCAUCAUUUUAUAGUUAAACUCCGGCGGUUAGAGAUGGGCAUGCGUGACAUUAGUUAGUUGGUGAGGUAUGGCUCACCAAGACCACGAUGUCUAGGGGGUCUGAGAGGAUGGUCCCCACACUGGUACUGAGACACGGACCAGACUCCUACGGGAGGCAGCAGUGAGAAUAUUGGUCAAUGGGCGAAAGCCUGAACCAGCCAUGCCGCGUGAAGGAGACAGCCCUACGGGUUGUAGACUUCUUUUGUACGGGAAGAAACACUUCUCGUGUAGAAGCUUGACGGUACCGUACGAAUAAGCAUCGGCUAACUCCGUCCAGCAGCCGCGGUA